AGUCAUACGCUCGUCUCAAAGAUUAAGCCAUGCAUGUCUAAGUAAAAAUAUUUUACUUUGAAACUGCGAAUGGCUCAUUAUAUCAGUUAUAGUUUAUUUGAUAGUCCCUCACUACUUGGAAUAACCGUAGUAAUUCUAGAGCUAAUACAUGCAUCAACGCCUGACUUUAUGAAAGGCUGUAUUUAUUAGAUAGAAACCUUCUGUCUUUUGACAAGAAAUGGUGAUUCAUAAUAACUUUGCGAAUCGCAUGGCGUAUGCCGGCGAUGGAUCAUUCAAGUUUCUGCCCUAUUAGCUUCGAUGGUAGUGUAUUGGACUACCAUGGCAGUGAUGGGUAACGGAGAAUUAGGGUUCGAUUCCGGAGAGGGAGCCUGAGAAACGGCUACCACAUCUAAGGAAGGCAGCAGGCGCGCAAAUUACCCAAUCCCAACGCGGGGAGGUAGUGACAAGAAAUAACAACAACUAACCUAUUUCAGGUGAGUUGAUUGGAAUGAGUACAAUCUAAACACCUUAACGACUAUCCAU
rnacentral:rRNA from 1 species